CCGACGACCGGCGCACGGGUGAGUAACACGUAUGGAACCUGCCCGCAGCAGGGGGAUAAGCGGAAGAAAUUCCGUCUAAUACCGCGUAACAACGUUGGGAGGCAUCUCCCGAUGUUUAAAGAUUUAUCGGCUGCGGAUGGCCAUGCGGCGCAUUAGCUAGUCGGCGGGGUAACGGCCCACCGAGGCGACGAUGCGUAGGGGUUCUGAGAGGAAGGUCCCCCACACUGGUACUGAGACACGGACCGGACUCCUACGGGAGGCAGCAG
rnacentral:rRNA from 1 species